rnacentral:rRNA from 1 species
AGUGAACGCUGGCGGUAGGCCUAACACAUGCAAGUCGAACGGCAGCACAGUAAGAGCUCGCUCUUACGGGUGGCGAGUGGCGGACGGGUGAGGAAUACAUCGGAAUCUACUUUUUCGUGGGGGAUAACGUAGGGAAACUUACGCUAAUACCGCAUACGAUCUACGGGUGAAAGCAGGGGAUCUUCGGACCUUGCGCGAUUGAAUGAGCCGAUGUCGGAUUAGCUAGUUGGCGGGGUAAAGGCCCACCAUGGCAACGAUCCGUAGCUGGUCUGAGAGGAUGAUCAGCCACACUGGAACUGGGACACGGUCCAGACUCCUACGGGAGGCAGCGGUGGGGAAUAUUGGACAAGGGGCGCAAGCCUGAUCCAGCCAUACCGCGUGGGUGAAGAAGGCCUUCGGGUGGUAAAGCCCUUUUGUUGGGAAAGAAAAGCAGCAGGUUAAUACCCCGCUGUUCUGACGGUACCAAAAGAAUAAGCACCGGCUAACUUCGU